UAAGAUUUCAUAAAAACAUUUAAUUAGAAUAAAAAUACAUUUCCAGUUAGGCUAGCUGAACAGACAGAUCAGUCUAACAGCCUCAGAGACAUUUUAGUCUAUUUGGAGUUCUUGUAAUGUACCUAACACUGUAGUUCAGAUGAGUUUGUGGACCCCAACUGUGACACACAUAUGAUGAAAACACCUUGCAUGACUCCAUCAAGCUAUUGCGUACACGUUAUUGGAAACCCCAGGGUUCGCUGUCCGUAGAACAACACACACUUAUUUGUUUUUUACACUUAUCUUCCUGUCCUAAAUAGCACUGAUAGUACAGCCUAAUGAUUAACCUAGCAGUCUAGUCUGCUGACAUAGAUCUACACAGAACGGUGUGUGAACACUUAAAACCAGAUAUUUCCAUUCACGGUAGGUGAACGUUUUGGAUCGUUUGGCUCACAACCAAUCACAACUGGGCUGGGGUGGGCUUUUGUUGCUGGGCAACCAAUAACAGAAGAGGCCAACAGGUCUGUUGAAUCACCACUGGGCUGUAUAGGUCAGAGCAAGACGAGACAGAGACACAAGAUGGGACAGAGACAGGUCAGGUCAGAACAAAGACACAGGACAGAACAGGUCAAAGACACAGGUGAGAACAGGUCAAAGACACAGGAGAGAACAGGUCAAAGACAAAAGAUGGGACAGAAACAUGUCAGGUCAGAACAAAGACACAGGACAGAACAGGUCAAAGAGACAAGAUGGGACAGAGACAGGUCAGGUCAGAACAAAGACACAGGACAAAGAGACAAGGCAGGACAGGGAGAAAAUUCUGAGAGACAAGACAGGAGAGACUAGACAAGAUAGGGAGAAUGGACAGACACAGGACUGAGAGACAGGACAAGACAGGGAGAAUGGACAAAGAGACAGGACAGAUAAGAGAAACUGUUGAUGUUGUGAAGCACCAGAGAAAGAUCGCCUGACAGGGUGUCCUCUGUCCUCUCUGCCCUCCUCCCCUCGCCCUCUAACCCUCUUCUCACCAGAAACAAGGGUGUUCAGAGAUGGAGAGGAAGAGAAAUGAAGAGAUGUUGGGGAUGAAGGAGGUGGUGAGGUAGUGAGGCAGAGAUCGUGGUAACGGGCAGAGACGGAGAAAGGUACAUCGACAGUGAGAGAUUGUUGACCAAAGAUUGGGUUUCUGUGCCCUUUGCUGAUUGUUGCCAUUUAGUAGUUAACAAGUGUUCCUCAGAGUGGUUUGGGGUCGAUGAUUCUCCAUCCCAGCCCCAAAAACAUGACAUGAUUCAUCAAUGUUCCAGCACAAACACACACACACAUGGCUCUCUGUUCAACUGUACUGGACAGACCAAUCAGUAUUUUCCUUCGGUGGUGUCACAGUAGGUUAGAUCUAAGAUAUGAUGCUACUGGGCUGCUAGGGAGAUUAGGCUCAGCAAAUGGAAAUGUGGUGCAUGUGUGGGUGUGUGUGUGUGUGUGAGUGAAUGUGUUGAUAAUUUGAGAUAGGUGUUACAUAAUUGUUCCAACACAGUCUUUGGUCUUAGCUGAGUGCGCACACACACACAGACAUACACACACACACACAAACAGGCAACAAUAACAAACAAGGGCUUUGAAGGACAUCAUGACUAAACAGAUGAUUCUGAGACAAGAUGUUUCCUCAGCCUGUUUACACCCCAAAUAUAAUGUCUGUGAUCUGACCUAAUUUAAUGUGAUAAGUACUUCAGGAUACCUGCGAUGACAUAAGAGAGAACAAGAAUGUCUGCUUGUUUGGAGAUUAUGAACACUGGUAGGAAGCCAGAGUGGCCCGUUGAGACGGUGUAAAUGUGACUAACUGGGUCGACAACAGAGCUAGUGCCUAAACCUAGUUCCUAAAGUACCAAACAGAGAGCCUCUGAUCCAAAGAAGUGCACUAUAUAGGGAUUAGGAUGCACAUUUCUGACUCUGAGGACAUACGUCCAAGUUCCAGAUCUUGGUCAAGGUUACUAAUCACAUGAUCGAGGGUCAGUUCGCCACGUUCCACACUUGACUUCCUGGUUCCUUAUGACCAUCCGUGUCGACGGAUGGAAGGCUCAGGAUAUCAGUCAACAGAACAACCAAGCAACACACCUCUCCACAUCGCUCUCUUUCUCCAUCUGUCCCCAUUGAUCGCUAUCUCUUCAUCUCCAUUGCUCUCUCGUCUGGCACACCAUCGCUUCCUUUACAACUCUGUGUCUGUCUCGCUCUCUCCCCAUUUCCCUGUUUCUCCUGUCAAAUUCAAUGAAAAAAGUAUUUCUUGCCAAGAUAUUCAGCACACGUAUCGCCUGUAGGCUAUCGUCCCGGGUGUCUCAGGUGGUCGAGAACGUCACUAGCAACGCCAGAGGUUGUUGAGUAAAAACACGUUUAGAAUCACACAAGGAAGUAUUAGCAGCCGUUUCUUUGUACUGCAUGUCACUGUUUUGAUAAUGGAGACUUCAUGUUUUCUUUCUGUUACUUCCCUGAUAUCUGCAGCUGUCGUUGCUAAAUAUUCUGUAGACACACCACUCUGGUAGAACUCACAGCCCAAUGCUAGCUAGCUAGAUACAGUGCAGAACAGUCCAGCAAUACAACAGAAGAGUAACUUUGACCCUGAUCUUUUGUUUUGAUAUAAGUAUAAAUUACAGAACAGUUCAGUAAAGCUUGCUGGCUCCAGUACAAAACAGGUAAGUAGUGCUUUCUAGCUACAGUGAAGAGCAGUGCAACACUACAGUAGAAGAACAGUCUAGCAACACUAUCCACUUGUAUACAGUAAAGAAGUCAAGUGCUAGCUAACUACAUUCAAUGCUACAUGUUACAGUACAAAACUGGUUGGAACAGUACAGCAAAACUAGGUAUAUUCCAAUAACCGUGGACCAUGCUCUUCAAAUCAACUGGCAUGGUGCAAUCAAAACAACAUGGAAGCUUCUCCCCCACCAGUCAGACUGAGGCUCAGAUGUAAUAUACUCAGUGAAUAAAGCUGAUUCUUACACAUGCACGCACAUACGCACGCACGCAAACUCAAACACAUGCAUGCAAGCACACUCAUGCAAAAUGUAGGGGGCCGGGACUUGACAUCCAACUCUGAAGUUUUUCCCAGGGCGUGGAGCAGCCGAAACAGUUACAUCACCGGGAGAGUUGAACCCGGCGCCCAACCACGUCCUCUCCUCCUCGAUUCUCCACUCCUUCUCCUCUCCCAUGUCCACAUGUCAAUUACCAUUGUUUGCCACGUCUUUUUCGUUCUGUGCCGGACCCAGUGAGGUUAUGUGGCAUGAGCUAACCAUUUCCCGACCUCCCUUAUCCAUUCCGUCAUGGCACUGCUGCAGUGGUGCGUUCGGCAUCAGAGCGUAGUGUCCGGCUGCGCUCGGCUCCUCCACCCUGACCUUAUGGUGCUGCCCUGGGACCCGGUACCGGCCAUGGUAUUUCCAACCGUUCCUCCGGCUGGCGUCUC
ensembl:lncRNA